CCAUAUUUAUUUUUACGUCACUGUAGACAAACAACAUAUAUAUUCAAAACACUGCCUCCUGAUAGUCCUGAUUUCGAUUUUACUUUCUUUUUCUCGUUCAACAAAUUAUCGAUUUUUUUCAUGACCCUGUUAAAAGCCGAUGAAUAAAGGUAAAGGAAAGGUUUCAUGAUUUCAUUGAAUUCAGAUUUCAUGUGCGUCAUAGGAUAAAAAAGGAACACUGGUAAAUGUAGAAUCUUGUCUACAACCCUGCAAUGGAAAUUUAAAUUUAUUGUUAUUUGAUGUUGGAUUGGAAGUAAUCAGCUUUAGGGAAACUCAAUAAUGGCCAGUAGUGCUAAAGAAUAUAGAAGCACAAUCCAGAGAGAGGUCGAAUAUGUUGAUGAUGUUUGUCCAACAAAUACUUAAAAGAUGAAUUCAAAUUUGAAAUGAUGGUUGAAUGUGGGGGUUACAAUUAUACUAGCAAAUUUAAAGUGAGGAUGGCAUAGGUGUUCUUUCCCAUUAUCUCAAAUCUGAGAAGUGUGUGGAAGUAGGAAAAAGAGGUUCACAAUGUGAGGAGUGUACCAAUUUCAAUAGUCCAGCAGACUUCAGCCCAAAAGGUUUCAGAUCCAGCUAUAACUUUCGAGACCAAAAAGAGUUGGGUGUUGUACAAGAUCCAGAACUCAUCUCUUUUGAAACAUUAGCAGAAACAAUGAUUAGGAAAAAAGAAGAGGCUUUCAAUGAAAAUAUCUCAAAAAAACUAUAUAAAAACAAGUUUGCUGUGGAAAAUAAUCACAUUGUGAAACAUGAAAAAAUACACUCAACUAGGGAGAAGAGUGAAUUAUUCAAUCUUUAAUUCUGUUUGAAAUCAAUUGAAGAGAGCAGAUUUCAUGAGCAAAACAAAAUUUACUUUAAAAAUACAAAUGAGAUAAAUGAAAAAAGUAGCUUGAAGAACUAUAAAAAAACUCAAGAGAAAAAUUUCACUGUGAAAUCUGCUUGAAACCUUUUAUUUGUAGGUCAGAUCUUAUCAUUAACUCAAGAACUCAUAGAGAGAAAAAGUUUGAUUGUAAAAUUUGUUUAAAAUCUUUCGUCAUAAUGGAACUUCAAGAGAACACAAUAAAACUCACACUGGAUUAAAACCAUUUCAAUGUAAAAUAUGCUCAAUAUCUUAUAUGCGUAAGGGAUAUUUUAUAAUUCACUCAAGAACUCCUACAGGAGAAAAACCGUUUAAAUGCAAAAGUUGCUCAAAAUCUUUCAGUCAGAGUGGAAAUUUGAAUAAGUAUGAAAGAACUCACACUAAGGAGAAGCCAUCAAUGUGAAAUAUGCUUGAAUUUUUUCAUUUAUAGGUCAAAUUCAAUCAUCCACUCAACAACUCAUACAGGAAAAAAAUUUUUUUAUUGUAAAAUUUGUUCAAAAUGUUUCAUUGAUAAUAAAACUUUGAGAGAACAUGGAAAUUUGU